rnacentral:rRNA from 1 species
CAAGGAAUUUUGCGCAAUGGGCGAAAGCCUGACGCAGCGACGCCGCGUGGGGGAUGACGGCCUUCGGGUUGUAAACCCCUUUUCCCGAGGAAGAAAUAUGACGGUACUCGGGGAAUAAGUCUUGGCUAACUACGUGCCAGCAGCCGCGGUAAUACGUAGAAGGCGAACGUUAUCCGGAUUUACUGGGCGUAAAGAGGGUGUAGACGGUUCUUUAAGUCAGUUGUGAAAUCUCUCGACUCAAUUGGGAGACUGCAAUUGAUACUGGGGAGCUUGAGGGCAUCAGAAGAAAGCGGAAUUCACGGUGUAGCGGUGAAAUGCGUAGAUAUCGUGAGGAACACCAGUGGCGAAGGCGGCUUUCUAGGAUGCUCCUGACGUUGAGGCCCGAAAGUGUGGGGAGCGAAACGG